CGGCUUUGCAACAUCAUCUCUUCCCUUUUCUCUCUCGCUCUCUCUUCAACGGACCACCAUCAAGGUUGUGAUUGAAACAUUGUGUCUGAAGCAUUGUGGACUUCCUUAAGACCUUUCAUAUCGAAACAUUGUGGUCUGUGGUGUUUCAACCUCUUCAACAACCUUAGAUUUUAUUUUAAUUAAAAUCAUGGACAACAUUUAUAGUUUUGGUUAAGUGGAUGAUAUGUUAGAGGAAACAGUUCAGUUUCUUCAAAAUAGAAAUGUCAGUGUUGUGCUCUAU